AGAGUUUGAUCCUGGCUCAGAGUGAACGCUGGCGGCAUGGAUUAGGCAUGCAAGUCGAACGUGAUCCUUUUCUUCGGAUAAGGUGAAAGUGGCGCAAGGGUGAGUAACACGUGAGUAACCUGCCCUCGAGUCCGGGAUAGCCCUGGGAAACCGGGAUUAAUACCGGAUGCGGUUUUCCCGCGAUUGCGGGGAGGACCAAAGAUUUAUCGCUCGAGGAUGGGCUCGCGUCCUAUUAGCUUGUUGGUGAGGUAACGGCUCACCAAGGCUGUGACAGGUAGGUGGUCUGAGAGGAUGGUCACCCACACUGGGACUGAGGCACUGCCCAGACUCCUACGGGAGGCUGCAGUCGAGAAUCAUCCGCAAUGGGCGAAAGCCUGACGGUGCAAUGCCGCGUGAGGGAUGACGGCCUUCGGGUUGUAAACCUCUGUCAGGAGGGACGAAGAAGUGACGGUACCUCCAGAGGAAGCCACGGCUAACUACGUGCCAGCAGCCGCGGUAAUACGUAGGUGGCGAGCGUUACUCGGAUUUACUGGGCGUAAAGGGUCCGCAGGGGGUUUGCCAAGUCCGAUGUGAAAUCUCAUGGCUCAACUAUGAAAUUGCAUUGGAAACUGGCGAGCUAGAGUCUGCGAGGGGUGAGCGGAAUUCCUGGUGUAGCGGUGGAAUGCGUAGAUAUCAGGAAGAACACCGACGGCGAAGGCGGCUCACUGGCGCAGUACUGACCCUCAGGGACGAAAGCGUGGGUAGCAAACAGGAUUAGAUACCCUGGUAGUCCACGCUGUAAACGUUGUGCACUAGAUGUGGGUGGACUUUGGUCCUGCCCGUGUCCAAGCUAACGCGUUAAGUGCACCGCCUGGGGACUACGACCGCAAGGUUAAAACUCAAAGGAAUUGACGGGGGCCCGCACAAGCGGUGGAGCAUGUGGCUCAAUUCGAGGCAACGCGAAGAACCUUACCUGGGCUUGACAUGUACCGGACCGCCCUGUGAAAGCAGGGCUUUCUCUUUGAGACCGGUACACAGGUGCUGCAUGGCUGUCGUCAGCUCGUGUCGUGAGAUGUUCGGUUAAGUCCGGCAACGAGCGCAACCCGUGUCGUCAGUUGCCAGCAGGUAAUGCUGGGGACUCUGACGAGACUGCCCGUGUCAAGCGGGAGGAAGGAGCGGAUGACGUCAAGUCCGUAUGGCCCUUACGCCCAGGGCUGCACACGUGCUACAAUGGGUGGUACAAUGAGAAGCGAAACCGCGAGGUGGAGCCAAUCUGAUAAAACCAUCCCCAGUUCGGAUUGGAGUCUGCAAUUCGACUCCAUGAAGCCGGAAUCGCUAGUAAAGGCGUAUCAGCAACGGCGCCUUGAAUACGUUCCCGGGCCUUGUACACACCGCCCGUCACAUCAUGGAAGCUGGCUGCACCCGAAGUCCACGGCCUAACCCUCGGGAAGGAGUGGCCGAAGGUGUGUACAGUAACUGGGAUGAAGUCGGAACAAGGUA
rnacentral:rRNA from 1 species